GACUUCCGUGGGAUAUGGUUGAUUUGAAGUCAACCUAAGGGUGUUCGAUUCAUCCAGAGGUUU
rnacentral:tRNA from 1 species